rnacentral:lncRNA from 1 species
UUUUUUUUUUUCGUUUUUUUUUGCCCUGACAUUGUGAGUUUGUUAAGACUUAUGAAUUCGAAUAUCCCUUUGGUAUCUUUCAGCUUUUUUAAUUAAGUACUCGACAAUUCCUUGUUGAACUCUACAUGUCUUUAGUAAAUCUUGUUUUUUGGUUGCUGUUUCACUGUUGUGUCUUAUAACUUUUUCUUUUUAUUCAUAAUGAUCUACUUUACUACUUCACAAGACUACCUGGUAAAAUAAUAAUAAAGCUGAUUUCAUUUUAAAUAUUAUUUUCUAUAUGUUCUUUUUUGAUUAUGUCAAAAACUACACAGUGAAAUAAUAAUAAAGUUAAUUUCAUUUUAAAUUUAUUUUCUAGAAAAGUUUUUC